GUGCCAGCCGCCGCGGUAAUACGAAGGGGGCUAGCGUUGUUCGGAAUUACUGGGCGUAAAGGGCGCGUAGGCGGUGUGUCAAGUCAGGCGUGAAAGCCCCGGGCUCAACCUGGGAACCGCGCUUGAGACUGGCACGCUCGAGUUCGGGAGAGGAUGGUGGAAUUCCCAGUGUAGAGGUGAAAUUCGUAGAUAUUGGGAAGAACACCGAUGGCGAAGGCAGCCAUCUGGACCGACACUGACGCUGAGGCGCGAAAGCGUGGGGAGCAAACAGGAUUAGAUACCCUGGUAGUCCACGCCGUAAACGAUGAGUGCUAGACGUCGGGGCCCUCAGGGCUUCGGUGUCGCAGCUAACGCAUUAAGCACUCCGCCUGGGGAGUACGGCCGCAAGGUUAAA
rnacentral:rRNA from 1 species